UCGUGAGAGUUGGUUAGGUUACGCCGCGACGAGCGCAACCCCUGCAUCCAGUUGCCAUCGGGCGAGCCGGGCACUCUGGAGGGACUGCCGGCGACAAGCCGGAGGAAGGUGGGGAUGACGUCAAGUCAUCAUGGCCCUUAUGUCCAGGGCGACACACGUGCUACAAUGGCCGGCACAGCGGGAAGCGGAGGGCGACCCUGAGCGGAUCCCUUGAAAGCCGGUCCCAGUUCGGAUUGAAGUCUGCAACUCGACUUCAUGAAGCUGGAAUCGCUAGUAAUCGUGGAUCAGCCAAGCCGCGGUGAAUACGUUCCCGGGCCUU
rnacentral:rRNA from 1 species